ACCUCUCCAGCCCUACAAACUCUCGAAGAACCCAAAUUAAUCAAACCCAUCCUCCCGCUUCUUUUUUUGGUAUUUUUUUACAUUGAUUUUUUAACUUUUACGCCUUUACAUCAAACAAAUCGCUUUGGUAUGAUUCGAUUAUGUAUGAAGCUCCGGUUCUGUGGAGGGUUGCCGAUCAUGCAUUACGAUAAUGGAACGGGAAGAGGAGUGCUGAUGAUUCUUUCCCAACAAAUAUGAUACACAUGUAUUCUAAUCGUCGCGUUAGAGUUCAUCUACGGAUCUACAAGAUUUCGACAUUCAAAAGUAAAGGUGUACUUUUUCCGAUUCUUAAUUUACAUGUUUAUGUGACUAUUUGUUUUCUUAGUAUAUUCAAUACUUUAUGUUUUUGAAAGUUUUGAUGUGAUAUUCAGAUUUUCUCUUUAAGUUUGUAUUUGUGCGCGAUUAUCAAUUGUUGUACGUGUUGUUUUAUGUCAUAAUUUUGUCUUUUUUGAUUUAUCUGGUAGAUGAGAAUGUCGGUGAAGUGUAGUCAAACUUAUGAUGUAUAUUAAGUGGUUAAUAUGUUUGUUUUCUUAUCAAUUUUUUGAGUCACAAGUUUUAUUUGCAAUUGUGUUUUAUGAUUUUCUAAGUUAGAAUUUGUUCAUCCUUUUUGUUAUUGACUUGAUGAGAUAUGGUGAUGGUUGGUCAUGAUAAGAUGGUAGUAUCAAUCAGCGUAAUUUUGAAAAUAUUUUCAUUAAUUUUAUUGCAUGAUUAAAGGCUUUGCUUUGUAAAAUUAAUAAGGUUUUUGGCCUCUUUUAUUAAAUUAAAUUGGCUUUAAUAGUAGUUAUUGCAGUUUAAAUUUUAGUUUUUAAAUGGUAAGUUGACUCACUUGAUUGGUGUUAAUCUUUGAAUUUUAUUUUUUCUUGAAUAAUUGCUUGUAUAUAUAUGCUCUAAAUGCUUUAAUUCUCAUUGAUUGGAGUUUAAUGCAUUAUGUUAACUGGUGUAUAUUGACUUGCAGUCUUGAUUUGGCUUUUAUUUGUACCAUUUAUGGGUGGCCAUGAUUGAUGGCGUAUAUUCUUGGCCUAAUAAACGGCAAUUCAGUGCCAUUUUGUUGGCUUGUUUAUUACAUUUUAUUUAAUUUGUUACUUAAAAUUUUAGAUAUUUUUUGAAGAUUGCAAUUUUAUAUAUUAAUACUUUUAUCAUUAAUUAUUCUUAGUAAUUAUUUAUCUUGUGAUAUAUCUAGCCAAAGGGUUCCACUUUGGUUAGAUAUAUAUUUUUUUCUGUUUUUUAUAUUAUCUUUUUUUGUCGAAUGAUUUUUAUAUUUAUCAUUUCAUUCACUUUUACCAUCUUUUAAUUUGAUAAACUAUAUUGAUUUUAUUUAUUAAAUUUAUUAUAUUUUCUUGUUAUUAAUGAAUUGUAUUUGUUUCAGGUAGCGUGGUCUUACAAGUUGGGACAUUUCUUUUCGGACAUUAAGGUCUUAUUGUCUAAACUUCCGGAGACAUUUUCAUGUCUUUCGGUUAGAUGAUAAGCUUUUUUGAAUGAAAGAAACUCCUCGGAGUAUUGGCGUUUUAUCGAUACGAGCAAGUGUAUUUUCUGUCAAAA
rnacentral:lncRNA from 1 species